AUUCCAAUGCACUUGGUAUUGGAUUCUUGAAUCUGAUUGUAGAAAAAAGAUUUUCUAAAGCAUCUUGUGUGAAGCGGCUGGUCAGAAGGAACUUGUAUUGUUUUUCCAAAAUGAAGCAGUUCUGAAGUUCAAGAAUGGUUUUGGUUGCUAGAAUUGUUCCUGUUUGCGCAGGCCUCCACUUGGCAUUUGAUUCUGAUCCUAUUUUCAAUUGGAGACUGAAACCCAUUUUUGGAGAACGUGAUGUCAUCAGGUCGUACCACAGACCAACUUGAUCACAAAACCAUGCUGUAGUUGUGGCAUUCUUGGGCAGGACUUUUUCCUGAAUAAGAAAGCGAAUGGCUGCCCCAGUUUUUCUAGAUAGUAGAUUCUUAGCCAUGCUCACUUUCAUUUUUUCAAAAUGCCCAGGAUCACAGCAUUUUUCAUUCAGGUAAAUUGCACUCAGCAAUGGCAUACUGUGGGAUGAAAAAUGUUUGUCCACGAGUCAGAUGAUUCCUGAUAUUCUUCAAAACAUGUGGAACAUCAGGCAUAAAUCUGAGAAUGAAUUUCCAGUGAAGAAGUACGCAACAACUUGUUUCCAUCUUGCUGUCAAACCACAUAACAUGAAAACCAUGGCAUGUGUUGCCAU